CCGCGGUAAUACGGAGGGAGCUAGCGUUGUUCGGAAUUACUGGGCGUAAAGCGCGCGUAGGCGGUUUUUUAAGUCAGAGGUGAAAGCCCGGGGCUCAACCCCGGAAUAGCCUUUGAAACUGGAAAACUUGAAUCUUGGAGAGGUCAGUGGAAUUCCGAGUGUAGAGGUGAAAUUCGUAGAUAUUCGGAAGAACACCAGUGGCGAAGGCGACUGACUGGACAAGUAUU
rnacentral:rRNA from 1 species